AUACAGAUGACGAGUCCGAAAUAGGACGAAAUGCGCAUCCUGGAU
rnacentral:hammerhead_ribozyme from 1 species